GACGAACGCUGGCGGCGUGCUUAACACAUGCAAGUCGAACGGAAAGGCCCUGCUUUUGUGGGGUGCUCGAGUGGCGAACGGGUGAGUAACACGUGAGUAACCUGCCCUUGACUUUGUGAUAACUUCAGGAAACUGGGGCUAAUACCGGAUAGGAGCUCCUGCUGCAUGGUGGGGGUUGGAAAGUUUCGGCGGUUGGGGAUGGACUCGCGGCUUAUCAGCUUGUUGGUGGGGUAGUGGCUUACCAAGGCUUUCACGGGUAGCCGGCCUGGGGGGGUGACCGGCCACACUGGGACUGAGAUACGGCCCAGACUCCUACGGGAGGGAGCAGGGGGGAAUAUUGCACAAGGGGCGGAAGCCUGAUGCAGCAACGCCGCGUGCGGGAUGACGGCCUUCGGGUUGUAAACCGCUUUCGCUCAUGACGAAGCUUUGUGUGACGGUAGUGGGUAAAGAAGCACCGGCUAACUACGUG
rnacentral:rRNA from 1 species